AGCAGUUAACAAGAGCAACCAAAAAUUUUGCGUUAAUUGUAAUAAACAGCUUAAAUGACAUAAUAUAAUGCUGGACCGUCAUUCACUUUCACUCCGAUAGAAAAAUAAUAAUUUCAUUCUAUAGUAAUAUAUGUUAUAGUUAUUUUAACUAUUGUAUUCAUAUCUAACGCAUUGAUUUGUUGUAAAGAGUCUUAAUUAU